rnacentral:rRNA from 1 species
CACGGGGGGAGCAAGCGUUGUUCGGAAUCACUGGGCGUAAAGGGCGUGUAGGCGGUCGAGUAAGUGGGAUGUGAAAUGCCUCGGCUUACCCGGGGACCGGCAUCCCAAACUGCUUGGCUUGAGUAUGGGAGAGGAUGAGGGAAUUCCUGGUGUAGCGGUGAAAUGCGUAGAUAUCAGGAGGAACACCGGUGGCGAAAGCGCUCAUCUGGCCCAAUACUGACGCUGAGGCGCGAAAGCUAGGGGAGCAAACGGA